rnacentral:rRNA from 1 species
UGGGGAAUAUUGGACAAUGGGGGGAACCCUGAUCCAGCCAUGCCGCGUGUGUGAAGAAGGCCUUAUGGUUGUAAAGCACUUUAAGCGAGGAGGAGGGUACUGGUAUUAAUACUACCAGGUACUGGACGUUACUCGCAGAAUAAGCACCGGCUAACUCUAUGCCAGCAGCCGCGGUAAUACAGAGGGUGCGAGCGUUAAUCGGAUUUACUGGGCGUAAAGCGUGCGUAGGCGGCUAAUUGAGUCGGAUGUGAAAUCCCCGAGCUUAACUUGGGAAUUGCAUUCGAUACUGGUUAGCUAGAGUGUGGGAGAGGAUGGUAGAAUUCCAGGUGUAGCGGUGAAAUGCGUAGAGAUCUGGAGGAAUACCGAUGGCGAAGGCAGCCAUCUGGCCUAACACUGACGCUGAGGUACGAAAGCAUGGGGAGCAAACAGG